CUACACAUGUUUGUUGACGGCGUCGCUUAUUCCGCAUGAACGUGAUAUUUUUCCCCCCAAAAAACUGCAGUGAAAGUGGGGUUAAAAUGUAAAGUAAUGGACGGAAAGAGAAAACAACUAGUGACAAAGUUUUACCAGAAGAAAAGAAACUGCUCCAGAGUGAGGCCUGCAGAUUCCCUCCUCCUCCUCAUCAUCAUCGCACCACAAGGAACUCUGCAAGUCUUCCCUGGAAGGAGCAAACCCACUUAUCAUCAACCAACGCAGAUGAAAUAAGAUUUAAAGAGCCUUUCUAAAUGUGGCCAACAGGGCAAGAUCCACUGUGCCAUUUGCUCCAGACCUCAAGUCAUGGGCUGAAGAUUGAUCCGUCAUCUGUCCCUCACCCGUUGAUGAAGAGCGAGCUUGGACGAGGUGGAGGAGAAAGAGGCGACGGGGUUUUCGGCGAGGAGGAGCUAUUCUGGAUACUGCUGCAUUUGAGAUUUCAGCAAUUAACUUGGAUGGCGUGCGUCACCGUCGCAGCGGCGAGAGGACUCAAAGUGCUGAAACAAGACUAGGACGGGGAGAGAAAAGGACACCGCUGAUUCAAAGAGAGGAUCUCCUUCUGUCUCCUCCUUCUCAUCGUCCCUCCUUCGAUCUGUCCGUCCCAACUUCCAUCCCAUCGACCGUCUGGAGAAAAGCUAAUAACAGUCCAGGAGUCCCCGUCAGGACCCCUAGGCAUCCCUGUGCCUGCCUGCCAAAAACGUCUGCAUCUCCUGGACCCCCUCGAGGCAGGGGACAGCCAAAUGUCACUUGGACCCUCUACAGAGUGGUGAGAGGAGGACAGGAAGAGGCGAGUGGGAGAGGGGGGAGGAGACAGGGAAUUGAAUGAGAGGGGGACAAAAGUUAGAGAGGAGACACGAAGAUAUGUAGAGUGGCAGAAGAGUUUGAUUAGAUAAUAGAGACGCAAUGAUUACUUGGUGAGUUCUAACAUGUCUGCCUUUCAAUUCUCACUUUUUGGCCCAAAUCUUAUAUAGUAUACUGCUUAUUGAAGUAUUUUAUUACAGUGUUUUUCAUCCUCAAGUUUUCCAAGACCUAGUGUUGGAUGAGUUUUAUAUUAACUUGUGCUAGAACAAAAAAGCAUCACUAAUUCUAUAACAAAUAGAGAUGGCUAAAAGCUGAUCUAGACUUGUUAGAAUGGUGGUCACUUUGGUGCAUAUUAGUUAACUAACUACAAAUGUAUAUAUUUUCCAAUGCAGCUGACCAGUCUCCAUAAGUUCUCAGACUGAUUCCUUCCUCCCAGACAGCCAGUGGCUUCAGUGUGUUGCACUAUGAAACUGCAGAGGCUCCCAAACAUCAUUAACGCAGGAAGCUGCAAAAUCAAUUUUAUCCUUUUAAUUUAUUGCUUUAUGCAAAUCAACGUUGAUUUAAAGGAGUUAACUCUCCAUUAUCAGGUGCACAUACUGUACCACUCACUGUGUUUGUGGCACUGUCACAUAAAAGGUGCCAAGUGUGAUGUAUUUUAGACUAGUCACUGCCUGUUUGAGUAAAUCAAACAUUUAAAGCAGUUAUAUUUAGGAAGUGUCCACCUGUUGAAUUCAUACUCACUCAAAUGUCCAGUCCCUCCCGAAAGUCUUUCUUUCUUUGAACAAACAGCGAACGUUAGCAUUAACAGCUGUUUACUCACUAGUUCAGAAGAAAUGUGAUUUCAGCAUCAAACUUCAGCUCUUUUUCUUUUAUUCAUAUCAUUUCUUUGUUUACAGCAGAAUGUGGUUUCUACUUUUUCAUCCUCUCAUGAGGAUGACAGACUGGAAGCUACAGUCGCUCACUGUCUCCUCUUGAGGUACAAAGUGGUAUUACGAGACAGGACGGGCCGGGACUAGCCGACUAGUAUGCUAACUUCCGUAGAUAUCUCUGCGACACAAUCCAUAAAUGUCAUUGACGUCACAUCAAAACUGUUAUUUAUUCAAAUUCUGCUGAUAAUUUAAUUGUGGAAUAUUUUAAACUAACAUUCUUAAAUAUAGCUCCUUUAAAACAGUACAACAGACAUCACUGCUUAACGUUACUGUAGCUCCGUCAUCUCAUGUGGCAGUGUUUGUUUUCAUUUGUUUGGUGUGUAAGAUAGUUAAACGUUAAAUGUACUGUAAAAUUACAUGUGGUGAAACAUUUCACAUCACUACAUGUAAAAUUACACAUCUAAAUUACGAUCAGUAAUGUUUUAUAGAAGUCAGUGAGGCAUACAGAUCCAAAAAAGCCUUUUCACAUUGAUAUAAAGGUAUACUGAUUUAAUUUUUUUCCAUUUUCUAUCUUUUAUUCUUUUUCUUCUCUCACUCACAUCCCCCAUUCAUCCCAGCCAGUCUCUUGCUCCUUGUCCUUGUGUGGGGGACAAAUGCAAGACAAGGACUUCUGGCUCCCAUACACAUAUAUUAUAUACAUAUAAAAUCACACAGUAGACUGAGAAAGUUAUUAAUUCAGAAACACUCACGUCAGUGUGUCUGUACACUGUGUGUGUGUGUGUGUGUG